CUGUGGGCUGUUCUUCGGAAAGCCCGCGAGAUAGCACCCUCUGCUUUUUUGAGUACCUCUUGUUUCCUCGGCGGGCUUGCCCGCCAACGGGGACCUCAAUUCAACCUUUUGCAGUAGUAUGAAAACGUCUGAUAACAAUCUAAAUCGUUA
rnacentral:misc_RNA from 1 species